rnacentral:lncRNA from 1 species
AGGGUUCAUGACUAGAUUUGAAUCUGAUUUACAUAUUGUGAACGUUCUCGAAAACGAUAGCCAAGUUGGUUGGAUUGUAAAAAAGAACAAAAUUAAUUAUGCAUGCAGACUUUAUUCUAAAUUUUAUUUGUGACACCACUUAACUAUAAUAACUUUUAACUAUAACUCAGUUAAAUAAAGGAAAACGUUAUAAUACAAUAUAUGUCCGUACUGCAACCGAACCCUAAGGCUUGUCUGCGAACUUUAUAAUAAUUUAGUAUGAAUAAAAAGAAAUAUGAGUGCAUGUCAAUGAUACAAUAAUCCAACAAGAUAUUAAAACAUCUAUUUUUCUAUUUCCAAUAUGUUUAUGAAAUUCAAAUAAACGAACAAUUUAGACUC